AGUGGUGUUGGUUUUUGUCUGACCAAAUUCAAGUUAUGUCCGACCAAAAUUAAAAGUGAUCGGACAAAUGUCCUGUCAAGUCAAAUAUUUAUUUGCAGCCCUGUACAUGUUAUUAGUGCUCAGAAUGCAGGAAAUUGGCAUUUCAAGGCUCCUUCCUGAAAACUCACAACUUUCGACAGAGUGUUGACAUGAGUCUGUAGCGAGAAUC